UUAAGCGACUAAGCGUACACGGUGGAUGCCCUGGCAGUCAGAGGCGAUGAAGGACGUGCUAAUCUGCGAUAAGCGUCGGUAAGGUGAUAUGAACCGUUAUAACCGGCGAUUUCCGAAUGGGGAAACCCAGUGUGUUUCGACACACUAUCAUUAACUGAAUCCAUAGGUUAAUGAGGCGAACCGGGGGAACUGAAACAUCUAAGUACCCCGAGGAAAAGAAAUCAACCGAGAUUCCCCCAGUAGCGGCGAGCGAACGGGGAGCAGCCCAGAGCCUGAAUCAGUAUGUGUGUUAGUGGAAGCGUCUGGAAAGGCGCGCGAUACAGGGUGACAGCCCCGUACACAAAAAUGCACAUGCUGUGAGCUCGAUGAGUAGGGCGGGACACGUGGUAUCCUGUCUGAAUAUGGGGGGACCAUCCUCCAAGGCUAAAUACUCCUGAUUGACCGAUAGUGAACCAGUACCGUGAGGGAAAGGCGAAAAGAACCCCGGCGAGGGGAGUGAAAAAGAACCUGAAACCGUGUACGUACAAGCAGUGGGAGCACGCUUAGGCGUGUGACUGCGUACCUUUUGUAUAAUGGGUCAGCGACUUAUAUUCUGUAGCAAGGUUAACCGAAUAGGGGAGCCGAAGGGAAACCGAGUCUUAACUGGGCGUUAAGUUGCAGGGUAUAGACCCGAAACCCGGUGAUCUAGCCAUGGGCAGGUUGAAGGUUGGGUAACACUAACUGGAGGACCGAACCGACUAAUGUUGAAAAAUUAGCGGAUGACUUGUGGCUGGGGGUGAAAGGCCAAUCAAACCGGGAGAUAGCUGGUUCUCCCCGAAAGCUAUUUAGGUAGCGCCUCGUGAAUUCAUCUCCGGGGGUAGAGCACUGUUUCGGCAAGGGGGUCAUCCCGACUUACCAACCCGAUGCAAACUGCGAAUACCGGAGAAUGUUAUCACGGGAGACACACGGCGGGUGCUAACGUCCGUCGUGAAGAGGGAAACAACCCAGACCGCCAGCUAAGGUCCCAAAGUCAUGGUUAAGUGGGAAACGAUGUGGGAAGGCCCAGACAGCCAGGAUGUUGGCUUAGAAGCAGCCAUCAUUUAAAGAAAGCGUAAUAGCUCACUGGUCGAGUCGGCCUGCGCGGAAGAUGUAACGGGGCUAAACCAUGCACCGAAGCUGCGGCAGCGACACUAUGUGUUGUUGGGUAGGGGAGCGUUCUGUAAGCCUGUGAAGGUGUACUGUGAGGUAUGCUGGAGGUAUCAGAAGUGCGAAUGCUGACAUAAGUAACGAUAAAGCGGGUGAAAAGCCCGCUCGCCGGAAGACCAAGGGUUCCUGUCCAACGUUAAUCGGGGCAGGGUGAGUCGACCCCUAAGGCGAGGCCGAAAGGCGUAGUCGAUGGGAAACAGGUUAAUAUUCCUGUACUUGGUGUUACUGCGAAGGGGGGACGGAGAAGGCUAUGUUGGCCGGGCGACGGUUGUCCCGGUUUAAGCGUGUAGGCUGGUUUUCCAGGCAAAUCCGGAAAAUCAAGGCUGAGGCGUGAUGACGAGGCACUAUGGUGCUGAAGCAACAAAUGCCCUGCUUCCAGGAAAAGCCUCUAAGCAUCAGGUAACAUCAAAUCGUACCCCAAACCGACACAGGUGGUCAGGUAGAGAAUACCAAGGCGCUUGAGAGAACUCGGGUGAAGGAACUAGGCAAAAUGGUGCCGUAACUUCGGGAGAAGGCACGCUGAUAUGUAGGUGAAGCGACUUGCUCGUGGAGCUGAAAUCAGUCGAAGAUACCAGCUGGCUGCAACUGUUUAUUAAAAACACAGCACUGUGCAAACACGAAAGUGGACGUAUACGGUGUGACGCCUGCCCGGUGCCGGAAGGUUAAUUGAUGGGGUCAGCGCAAGCGAAGCUCUUGAUCGAAGCCCCGGUAAACGGCGGCCGUAACUAUAACGGUCCUAAGGUAGCGAAAUUCCUUGUCGGGUAAGUUCCGACCUGCACGAAUGGCGUAAUGAUGGCCAGGCUGUCUCCACCCGAGACUCAGUGAAAUUGAACUCGCUGUGAAGAUGCAGUGUACCCGCGGCAAGACGGAAAGACCCCGUGAACCUUUACUAUAGCUUGACACUGAACAUUGAGCCUUGAUGUGUAGGAUAGGUGGGAGGCUUUGAAGUGUGGACGCCAGUCUGCAUGGAGCCGACCUUGAAAUACCACCCUUUAAUGUUUGAUGUUCUAACGUGGACCCGUGAUCCGGGUUGCGGACAGUGUCUGGUGGGUAGUUUGACUGGGGCGGUCUCCUCCUAAAGAGUAACGGAGGAGCACGAAGGUUGGCUAAUCCUGGUCGGACAUCAGGAGGUUAGUGCAAUGGCAUAAGCCAGCUUGACUGCGAGCGUGACGGCGCGAGCAGGUGCGAAAGCAGGUCAUAGUGAUCCGGUGGUUCUGAAUGGAAGGGCCAUCGCUCAACGGAUAAAAGGUACUCCGGGGAUAACAGGCUGAUACCGCCCAAGAGUUCAUAUCGACGGCGGUGUUUGGCACCUCGAUGUCGGCUCAUCACAUCCUGGGGCUGAAGUAGGUCCCAAGGGUAUGGCUGUUCGCCAUUUAAAGUGGUACGCGAGCUGGGUUUAGAACGUCGUGAGACAGUUCGGUCCCUAUCUGCCGUGGGCGCUGGAGAACUGAGGGGGGCUGCUCCUAGUACGAGAGGACCGGAGUGGACGCAUCACUGGUGUUCGGGUUGUCAUGCCAAUGGCACUGCCCGGUAGCUAAAUGCGGAAGAGAUAAGUGCUGAAAGCAUCUAAGCACGAAACUUGCCCCGAGAUGAGUUCUCCCUGACUCCUUGAGAGUCCUGAAGGAACGUUGAAGACGACGACGUUGAUAGGCCGGGUGUGUAAGCGCAGCGAUGCGUUGAGCUAACCGGUACUAAUGAACCGUGAGGCUUAACCUU
rnacentral:rRNA from 1 species